GGUUCGAUGGUGUAGUUGGUUAUCACAUCUGUCUAACAUAUAAGGCCAAUAUAUCUUCCGUUGCACAGAAGGUCUCCAGUUCAAGUCUGGAUCGAACCA